GAGUCGUAACAAGGUUUCCGUAGGUGAACCUGCGGAAGGAUCAUUAACACGUAUCCAAACGUUAAAACCCCCCCCGUGAACCUUCAUCCUGCUCUUGUAACAAUCUCUGAUAAAUCAUAGCCCGGAAAGUUGUAGUGAUUCAGAGACCUCUGGCUACGUGCGAACAUUGGAGCUUUGCCAAAGGCCCAUGCCCCCUAAUAACCCCACAGUUUAAUGUGAAGCUCAAUGUAAUACAUUGGGUAAAAAAACCGAACAACUGUUAACAAUGGAUAUCUUGGUUCUC
rnacentral:misc_RNA from 1 species